rnacentral:rRNA from 1 species
GUGCCAGCCGCCGCGGUAAUACGUAGGAGGCAAGCGUUAUCCGGAUUUACUGGGCGUAAAGCGCGUGCAGGUGGUUUGGUAAGUUGGAUGUGAAAUCUCCUGGCUCAACCGGGAGGGGUCGUUCAAAACUGCCAGACUCGAGGACGGUAGAGGAGAGUGGAAUUCCCGGUGUAGUGGUGAAAUGCGUAGAUAUCGGGAGGAACACCAGUGGCGAAAGCGGCUCUCUGGGCCGUUCCUGACACUCAGACGCGAAAGCGUGGGUAGCGAACGGGAUUAGAUACCCCCGUAGUCC